rnacentral:rRNA from 1 species
AUGUACAUGCAUACACAGUUAAAACACUGGAUCCCAUUAUAACUCUUCAGUUAAGUGCACUUGGGGUAAAGUAGUAGAGGGAUGGGUGACCUCCCGGGAACUUCUAGUGUUUUACACG